rnacentral:rRNA from 1 species
AACGAACGCUGGCGGCGUGCCUAACACAUGCAAGUCGAGCGAGAAAGCCCGCAAGGGUGAGUACAGCGGCGCACGGGUGCGUAACACGUGAGUAAUCUGCCCUGGAGCCCGGAAUAACCUCCCGAAAGGGAAGCUAAUGCCGGAUGAGCCCACGGGGUCCUUGGACUCUGAGGGAAAAGGCGGCCUCUGUAUACAAGCUGUCACUUCAGGAUGAGCUCGCGGCCCAUCAGCUAGUUGGCGGGGUAAUGGCCCACCAAGGCUACGACGGGUAGCUGGUCUGAGAGGACGAUCAGCCACACUGGAACUGAGACACGGUCCAGACCCCUACGGGAGGCAGCAGUGGGGAGUCUUGCGCAAUGGGCGAAAGCCUGACGCAGCAACGCCGCGUGUGUGAUGAAGGUCUUCGGAUCGUAAAGCACUGUCGCGAGGGACGAAUAAGGGCCGGGUGAACAAUCCGGUCUGAUGACGGUACCUCGAGAGGAAGCACCGGCUAACUCUGUGCCAGCAGCCGCGGUAAUACAGAGGGUGCAAGCGUUGUUCGGAAUUAUUGGGCGUAAAGCGCGUGUAGGCGGCCUGGCAAGUUGGGUGUGAAAGCCCUCGGCUUAACCGAGGAAGUGCGCCCAAAACUACGAGGCUUGAGUACCGGAGAGGGUGGCGGAAUUCCCGGUGUAGAGGUGAAAUUCGUAGAUAUCGGGAGGAACACCAGUGGCGAAGGCGGCUACCUGGACGGAUACUGACGCUGAGACGCGAAAGCGUGGGGAGCAAACAGGAUUAGAUACCCUGGUAGUCCACGCCGUAAACGAUGAGCGCUAGGUGUUGUGGGUGUUGACCCCUGCAGUGCCGCAGCUAACGCAUUAAGCGCUCCGCCUGGGAAGUACGGCCGCAAGGCUA